rnacentral:lncRNA from 1 species
AUGUCCCCAUAGGCAGUUGGAGAUGAGCAGUGAGCAUUGGUUUGGUUUGCUCUGCCUCACUAUUCUUCAAUAACAACAGGAAUCCAUCAUUCAUUGACACCUGGCACACAGCAAGUACUAUGGGUAACAACAAACAUGAGGAGAAUAAGCACACAGAUGUGUAUGUUUAUCAGUUAUACUCUCAGCGACAAGCAAUGAGUGUUCUGAAGUGGAGCACUCCAGCUGGGUUGGUUCAUGACUCCAUGAUGUCAUGGGAUAUACGCCUUUGGUCUGUCUUCUUUGUCUUUCUGUUUGUUGUCUUUUCAUUGACAAGUACCUUUGAUGGCUGUUAACUUCAAAUACACGUGAAUAUGAUAGUGGCCAGCAACUGGAUCACCCUUUGCCCCAUGUACUUUUAUGUCGUAAUCCUCCCAAUGGAGUCCUCCUCCUAUCUUAGCACACAACCCAGUAUCAUAGGUCUAGACCUGAGAAAAGGUUAGACAGAAUAGCAGAAUCUCCAUGGUUUGUAUAUGGCUGGGCAAAAGAAUCUGAGUUGCCAAAUAAACUUACAGUUUGUUUUUUUUUUUGUAAGGAAAGGGGGUGGAAUUAAUACUGAAUAAGUAAGCAGGGAGCCAACUCCCUCUGUGGGGCAAGGAAGUCUGCAGUAUAGUCUUGGGAGUGGACAGUGCAGUUUAGGGGGUUAGAGUAGAAGUCACCUUGAAGUUUUGAGGAGAAGAGAUGUUUUGAAGGCUGAGAAAAAGUUAUUAAGUUUAUGUCUCUCUGAAAGUAAACCUGGAGUCUAAGAUUAUAUCACUUAAAAGAACACAAGAUAAAUCCAUAUUUAUCCACUGACUCUUGAUUUCAGGUGUCCUUGCGGCCCCUAUGAAUUUUCCAAAGUCAUAUAAAUACCGCCUCUUGCUGUUUCUAAGCUUCAUUGCACUGCAAGAGAAAUGGCUCAAGAGUGUUUUGCAUAUAAUACCAGACAUAUUUGUGACCUAGCUCUGGCUGAGUUCGAGCCUGACCUGUUUCUAUCAUUGCCAUUGGAAUAGGUCGCUAGUUUUUGCCAGAUUUUGAGUUGUCAAGAUAACAAUUUAUCUAUCUUGUUGUCAGAGUCACAGCUAUUUUGCCCAACUCAAGGGGAAUCUAAAUGACUCUCCCUGCUCAUGGUGUGCAACUCAUAUUCCAAAUGCAUUCAAUUCCAGUCACCCGCACCCUGCCACACCCUGUAGCUAAAGAUUGCAAGCCACCAGUGUCAGACACUGUCUGCUGAUGUGGGUUCCCUUCUCAAAGACCACCUCCCUUCUAGUUUCCUCUAAAUGAUCACUGAAAUGGCUGGCCACAGUUACCACAUCAGUUACCCAGGUCUCCCUCGGGCUCACAGCUUUCCCACAUUUUCCCAUGUCUCCCGUCAUCAUGCUCGCAGCCCUCCGUUCACAAAUCACUCUUCCACAGAACCUCAGUUGCCCAGUGUGAACCAUAACCUCUCGGCUUUGUAAGAGGCCAGUCGUGAAGGUUCUUGCUUUUAAGGCAAACCUCCAGCCUUGUUUCACAAGGGCAACCAGAAAUGGUUCUGCGUGCUUCAUAACUCAUUCCCUUUGGCUUUCUUCCCCCUCACAAUAGAUCCUUUUCAGGGUCUUAACCACAAACACUAAAUUACCCCCUGCAUCCUUUCCCUCUUCUUCCAAGGAGUGCUUGGAGAGGAACCCAAUGGUGGGCAGAUAUUCUCCAAAAGCAUUUUGUGUCAAAUAACAAAACAAGGUUGUCGUUUAAAUACAAAUACUAGUAGUGAUUUCCAUGAAAAGCUGGAGUAGUAAUUACCACCUUGGAAAGCAUAUCAUAAUGACUUCUUGCAGUGCCAUUUAGGCUGUGUUCUCUUCUUAUUCUCCAGGCACUGCUCCUAACUGCGCUACCCCAAGAAAACGCACUGAGAGAAAACAGUAACAUACAGAGCGGAGGAAAACCCUGGUGACCAUUGGCAGCCAGAUGGAGCAGGGGUGACCCAGCUCAGUCACCCCUGGAUGUUCAGCAGAGAAGAAGCUCCGGCCAUCAGCAGCCACAGACUGAAACCACAGAGACUGGGAGCCAGCAUACGUCCGUCCAUCUUUUAAACUGUGUAUGUCAGAUACUUCGUCAUAGCAAUGAAGAAUCUGACCAAUAUGGCAUCUCCUCCAUUAUGUCUUAGAUCUUUCAACAGCUAGCACUUUGUCACCACUGCUACUGUUCUUAUGGCCAUAUGUGUGUUCAAUAUAUAAAAUUAUACAUAUAACAUAUACACCUUAUAUGUAGAAUUUUAUAUAUUAUGUAAUAUUUAUAAUUAUAUAACUAUAAACACAUAUUUGUAUAAUAUAAAUAUAUUCUAUAAAUUUAUAAAAUAUAAAAUAUGUUAGAUAUUGAAAUAUUAUAUAGUAUAUAAAAUAAAUAUAUAAGCAUAUGUAAUAUUCAUAAAACAUGAAUAUUUAUUUCAUAUAUAUACAUACAUAUAAAAUUCUUUUUUCAGGUGGAAUUUAGCUGGGUAGAGACUAUCAUUCUUCACCAUGCAAGUACUUAAUAAACAUCUUUUUAAUG